rnacentral:tRNA from 1 species
AUUUAAAUAGCUUAAUUUUAAAGUGUAAUAUUGAAGAUAUUAAGAUAAGAUAAUCUUUUUAAAUA